GACGUAGGAGGCGAGCGUUGUCCGGAUUCAUUGGGCGUAAAGAGCACGCAGGCGGUUUGGCAAGUCGGAUGUGAAAACCCGGAGCUCAACUCCGGACCUGCAUCCGAAACUGCCCGACGUAGAGGUAGGUAGGGGAGAUCGGAAUUCCUGGUGUAGCGGUGAAAUGCGCAGAUAUCAGGAGGAACACCAGUGGCGAAGGCGGCCUACUGGGUCGCACCUGACGCUGAGCCGCGAAAGCCAGGGGAGCGAACGGG
rnacentral:rRNA from 1 species